rnacentral:rRNA from 1 species
GAUGAACGCUGGCGGCGUGCCUAAUACAUGCAAGUCGAGCGAACGGACGAGAAGCUUGCUUCUCUGAUGUUAGCGGCGGACGGGUGAGUAACACGUGGAUAACCUACCCAUAAGACUGGGAUAACUUCGGGAAACCGGAGCUAAUACCGGAUAAUAUUUUGAACCGCAUGGUUCAAAAGUGAAAGACGGUCUUGCUGUCACUUAUAGAUGGAUCCGCGCUGCAUUAGCUAGUUGGUAAGGUAACGGCUUACCAAGGCAACGAUGCAUAGCCGACCUGAGAGGGUGAUCGGCCACACUGGAACUGAGACACGGUCCAGACUCCUACGGGAGGCAGCAGUAGGGAAUCUUCCGCAAUGGGCGAAAGCCUGACGGAGCAACGCCGCGUGAGUGAUGAAGGUCUUCGGAUCGUAAAACUCUGUUAUUAGGGAAGAACAUAUGUGUAAGUAACUGUGCACAUCUUGACGGUACCUAAUCAGAAAGCCACGGCUAACUACGUG